rnacentral:rRNA from 1 species
CACGCCGUAAACGAUGAGUACUAGGUGUAGGGGGUAUCGACCCCCCCUGUGCCGCAGUAAACACAAUAAGUACUCCGCCUGGGAAGUACGAUCGCAAGAUUAAAACUCAAAGGAAUUGACGGGGACCCGCACAAGCAGCGGAGCAUGUGGUUUAAUUCGAAGCAACGCGAAGAACCUUACCUGGGUUUGACAUCCACGGAACCCUCUUGAAAGAGAGGGGUGCCCUUCGGGGAGCCGUGAGACAGGUGC